AACAACAAGGACAAUCAAGGCUUGUUUGCUGCUACUUCAAGUUUCAUGCUCACGCAAUCAUCAGGCAACACUGUACAUAGAGGAUUGAGAAACCACGCAUACACACACACGGCCAUGCCCUAAGCAUAAUUUUUGUCUAAACCGCAAGAUUAUGCCGACCUUACACAUUGGAAUCCGUAUAAUAUUAUGCCGGAGCAUAACUUUUUGACGAAAUCCCAAGAUUAUGCCAAAUAUUAUGCCGGCAUCAUCCGCCAAGGGCUAUGAAAAGGAGUCGUAACUGGGGUAUUUAAAAAAACAAACAUCUGUAGGCUUUCUGACAAAGCUGUAUUAUGCCCCUAAGCAUAAUUGUUGUCUAAACCGAAAGAUUAUGCUGACUUUACACGUCGGAAUCCGUAUAUUAUACCGGAGCAUAAUUUUUUGACGAAAUCCCAAGAUUAUGCCGGCAUAAUCCGCCAAGGGCUAGUUUGUAUGGUUCUGCUAAUUUCACUGCUUUUCGAGCAGAAUCUGCCACCUUUUCGAGCCUUUUCCGCCAAUGCCUACUGGUGGUGGCGUGGCAUGUAAUUUUCUAGGUAAUUAAAAAAUUUAGCCCAGCGUUUCGCCAGCAAAUCUAAUUCUGAAGAUGGUUUGAGUACGAUUGCACGCAAAUGCAGAAACAAAGGAAAGAGGAAUAAAACACUCUCAGGCGUACGCGUCUAUGGAUCCAGGACAAAAUUAAGUGGACGCACUUAACGUGAGAAGUAUCGCCAGAACUAGACUGAUAGUAGUUUUAGUACAGCAGCGGAGAGGCUAACACACGCCUGGUCUUUCUUGGGAAACUAGCGACUUUGCGAACACCAUCAUGUCCAAUGUACAGUAUAUUAUGUACCAUGCACCAUGUACAUGUACAUGUAUACACGCCCGUCGCAAGAGAACACAACCUCUAGUGGAGACAGUCCUUGCCAGAGUUUUCUUUCUCCGAGCUUUGUGUUCUGUUCUGCAAUCGUAGCCGGUCUAGGAGCUAGUGAAGCAGCUUGAUCAGCGCUGGGAAUACGAAGAGCUAGACUAUCAUGUCUUAUCAAGGCCAAGGGUAUUCACGGGUUCCGCCAGUGGCUGAGCCUGUUCGUGCGUAUCCGGUCCCCGUAGAGCCUGUCGUGCCGGCGGCCACUGCAGUCUGCAUUGGAGGAGGCGGCGUGGUAGUUCAACAGCCCGGAGUAGCAGCGACGACCACGGUCAUAGCUACCGGCUGUUUUAGGACAUUCGGACCGUAUCCAACCAUGGCUUCGUGUGACAACUGUGGCCAUACUGGCAUGACGGUAACAGAGAGCUCUCCCGGCACUUCCGCUUGGGUGCUUGCAUUCGUCUGUUGUAUGCUUGGACUGUGGCUGUGUUGCUGGAUCCCAUUCGUCUCGCCAUCCUAUCAGGAUCACCUGCAUAUGUGCUCCAGGUGCCAGGCUCCUCUUGGUCACUACUACGCUAGAUAGUCUGCAUUGUGGCUUCGCGUGUGGACAUGGCCCACGCUUGGCGUUCGCCACGGAAAACAUGGCUGACCACGACUACUUUCGUGUCAAGCAGCCAAGGGAGCGACGCACCGAAUAGCGUGUAGAGCAUUUGUCACCCUGCUGCUCACCUCACUUGUAAUCUCCUGCCUUUGUUUUUGCCAAUAUGAUCGAUUCAAAAGGACAAUGUAAAUGUACAAUGCACAUGCACAAUCAGAAUGAUCGUCUUCUACACAUGUACAAAAUUAUACAUUGUACAUGGCACGUUGGCUACUGAAUACACUGUAUUCCAUUUGCAGCGCACCGCUUGUGUACACAUUACCACGAUAUCGCCUCCACGGCUGCAGCUUUGCCCCACUCCUUCGAGUGAUGGAUUUGAGGAAGAUUAUCCUUCCCAAUACGAAUCAGAACCAGCCUACCCUCUCAUCCGUGCAUCAUCCGUGCAGCAUUCUUAUUCUGAAUCUCGUUUCUACAAUCUCCACUAUUGCAUACGCCUUUUCCAUACACAUUUGCUCCAGAAUUCAGACCAAUACGUAUCACCAUCCAUUUCAAGUA